GUAGUGCACUAUAUAGGGAAUAGGGCCCUGGUCUAAAGUAGUGCACUAUAUAGGGAAUAGGGCCCUGGUCUAAAGUAGUGCACUAUAUAGGGAAUAGGGCCCUGGUCUAAAGUAGUGCACUAUAGAGGGAAUAGGGUGCCAUUUGGAACACACACAGUGACUGACUCCUCUACUGAGGAUGAAGAGACUAACGAUCUGUUCGUUUUCUCGUGUUCUGCACCCUCUGAGUCUACCAAAGUGGGAUC